rnacentral:lncRNA from 1 species
AAAUCCGAACAAUGCAUACCAUCAAUGACGAAAUCGAUAAGUUGUUGCAAAAUCCAACUUGCAGUAGCCAUGAUUAACCUUGGAGCUUUUUCUUCUCUGAAAAAAAAGUUUUGUUUUUUAUUAGGAGAUAGAUCUCUGUUAGUAUCCUUUAACAUGUUAUAGGAGCUAACCACUUGUUAGUCUUGUUGUUUUAAAGAGCUAAUCUAACCAUUAAUUCUCAUUCAGUUUCUUUCUUGCUUCUCUCUUGGAAAUUAUAUAUAUAUGUGUGUAUAUACAUAAUAUGUGCAUUUUUCCAAAUUAAACCUGCGAUUAUUUUAUCCAGAGAAAAAAGGAAAAAAAUACAGAGAAUCCGUGAAUCAUUCAUGAAUAAAAUACCCAUAAGUAGCCAAGAAAAUAUUGCAUCAUAAAAAUUUUCUCGAGAACCAAACAGAGGACGCGAUGGUACUACUUACUUCCCAGUAGGCAACGUCCAAGCCACCAACCUCCAUCGAGCUUGAUAAACGUCCCCCGGUCUCUCGGUUCUCAACCCUUUGAAAGAAAGUGGUGACCCAAAAUAGAUAUGCUUAAGCCCGUUUGGACUUUGGAGGGAAAUGAACAGCCUCCAACUGGGCUGGAUUCAUAAAGCAAACAUCUUUUAGAUACCCAUCAUCGCCAGUCGGUUUUCGUAUCAAAAUGGUGUCGAUUCCAUGAGAAAGUAAGGAAAGUAAACACAGUUUUUCUUCUUUUCAAGAUUACUCGCCCCCCGAGUUUACAAGAUGGAAUGGAAAACAGUCACGAACCUCUCAAGUCUCCUGCAGGAUAGUCUAGAGAAGAAAGCCCCAAUAGCAGAGCAGGAAAAAUACUCCGUGCUGAUAUUAUCCAUUUUCGACUCUUCCAGGACACUUCUCUUUGCAAUCGCCUUAUAGCCUUCUGUGAGGAAGUCGGUGACAUCAACUAUGCUUACCAGGUGUUUGAUAAAAUGCCUAGCAAGAAUACCAUUUCUUCCAACAGUGCGAUCAGCUCGUUACUACAAAGAGGGUACGAGGAAAAAGCAUUGAACGUUUUUAAAAUGAUGAUUUGGUAGGGAAUUUCGACCACAUAUUUCACUUUUACCGGCAUUUUUUUAGUCUUCGGGAACAGUUGUCGGACAUUGAGGAGGCAUUUCGAGUUCUUUUUGAACAUGCCUCAUAAUUGGUGGGCUAGCGAAGACGGGUUGGUUCUUGGUAACACUCAAGAUGUUUAAAUUGAUGCCUAUGGAAGGGAUUAGAAUUCAUUUGUAAAGUCUUUUAAGUGUUUGGGAUAAGAGAAGUGGAGAAUUCAAGUUUAUGAAGAUCCUAGUGAUGAGUUUUCUGAGUAAUAUGUGUCUAAUGAAUUAUUCUAUGUAUCUAAGAAUGUUAAUGCAAUUUCAUUUUCGUACUUUAUAUUGGUCUUCAUAUAUAUGUAAUAAAUUCACGUUUUAGACCACUUAUCUUGAUAUUAAAAUGCAAUAUAGUUCUUCGC